rnacentral:pre_miRNA from 1 species
GUACUACUCCCUCCGUCCCAAAAUUCUUGUCUUAGAUUAGUCUAGAUACGGAUGUAUCUAACACUAAAACGUGACUUGAUACAUCCGUAUUUAGACAAAUCUAAGACAAGAAUUUUGGGACGGAGGGAGUACUUC